rnacentral:tRNA from 2 species
GGUGAGAUGGCUCAGUGGGUAAGAGCACCGGACUGCUCUCCCGAAGGUCUGGAGUUCAAAUCCCCGCAACCCCG